GUCGCGGGGCAGCAGUUCGGCUGGCGACCGGCGCACGGGUGCGUAGCGCGUAUGCAACCUACCCUUCAAUGGGGGAUAGCCUGGGGAAACCCAGAUUAAUACCGCAUAUUAUCCACAUUUCGCAUGUGAAGUGGAUGAAAGCUGAGGCGAUGAAGGAUGGGCACGCGUGGCAUUAGCUAGUUGGUGAGGUAAUGGCUCACCAAGGCAACGAUGUCUAGCUGGUCUGAGAGGAUGAUCAGCCACACGGGCACUGAGACACGGGCCCGACUCCUACGGGAGGCAGCAGUAAGGAAUAUUGGUCAAUGGGGGCAACCCUGAACCAGCCAUGCCGCGUGAAGGAUGAAGGUCCUCUGGAUUGUAAACUUCUUUUCUCAGGGGUUAAUUGUGAGCUAUAUGCUCGCUUGCAGGUACCUGAGGAAUAAGCACCGGCUAACUACGUGCCAGCAGCCGCGGUAAUACGUAGGGUGCAAGCGUUGUCCGGAUUUAUUGGGUUUAAAGGGUGCGCAGGCGGUCUAUUAAGUUAGUGGUGAGAGCGUCCAGCUCAACUGGAUACCCGCCAUUGAUACUGGGUAGACUUGAGUGCGACAGACGGUACUAGAAUGCGUGGUGUAGCGGUGAAAUGCAUAGAUAUCACGCAGAAUACCAAUUGCGAAGGCAGGUACCUAUGUCGUAACUGACGCUCAGGCACGAAAGCGUGGGAGCGAACAGGAUUAGGUACCCUGGUAGUCCACGCUGUAAACGAUGAUCACUAGUGUUCGGGACAUGAUCCUGAAUGCCUCAG
rnacentral:rRNA from 1 species